GACACGACAUAUUGUUCUAUACGUACAAUUGCAUAAAUAAAUAGCACCCAUUUUGAAGGCACACACAUAAACAUAUAUCUAUCUCGUUCUUACUCAGCACUUUAACUCGCAGGAAAACAAUAUAACAGUAUUUCAGUGCGUACAUAAAAUGAAACAUGAAUAUACGUAAAUGUCUCCGUCUCCGUCUAAUGAGGCCGAAAAUCCGCCAUGUUUAGCGCGCCAAAUGUCAUUGUCACGUCAGUUCGGCCGUCUGUUUUGGGUUGUACAUUAUUUAUUGACUUUGAUAUCGAUUUAAUAUGAUUGCUUAUAUAAAAUUUCUAAUUUUAUCAUGCUUAAAACAUACAAAAAUAAUAAUUAAAACAUAUUUGAUAGGAUCUCAAGAAAGUCGAUGCCCCAAAACUAUUAUCUAUAUAUAUUUAAAUUCAUUAUGGAGCCCUAAUCCGAAACAUAGAUUAUACACUUAAUAUAUUUGAAUCCGAAAUAUCGGACACCAUUUUUCGGUCGGAAUCUAUUCAUCAUGACACUAAUCAUAAAUACCUCUUUAAAAUAUGUCAUCAAAACAUAUUUAGACAUUCUGUUUAGAUAUUUCGGGGAAAAGGCUACCGACAAAAUCUCUUCGGAACUAUUUAAAUAAAAUAGUUUUAUUCCGCAGUGAGUAAAACACUAUUGUAAAUUCGUUAAAUAUUUAUUAAUUAAGUGAUUUUAGAGAGGAAGUCACAAGGAAUGACGUUUGUAAUUUCAUUAACGAAUAAAUAUUCUGUAGGUGUUUUUUUUUUAUCAGGCGGUCCCUUGAUAAGUUUAAAAUUUGCGUGCGGUGCGGUAGUGCGGUGCACCUUCCUUGAGGUGCGCUGCGGUAGUGUGUUACGGACUUUAGAGUCAGCAAAACAAUUAAAAUAGAUUGUAAUAGUCUAAGAAAAACACGUACUCAAAAUACGAUAACAUUCAGCAUGCUAGAAAUGGGCUGAUGGCACUGUACUAUGCCGUAUCUUUAUGUUUUGCGGCAAACGACAACUUUAUAAAAUCAGUGUAGCAAAUUUUAAAAAUCGUCAUAUCGUUUUUACUUGGAAAAUUUGAAGCACGAACUCGUGUUAGAUUUCACAUAAUAUCUAAAUCACAUUAUCUUUGCACAUAACAAUAUACUUACUUCCUAUUAAAGUAUAAAUUCUACAAAUACAUUCAUACUCAACAAUAUUUAAAAUAAAAUAAGCCAAGAACGUUUAUCGAUAAAACCUACUAACAUUAAAAUCUUCUGGGCAGCACUAAAACUGCCAUGUUUUGUGGCCAGAUGACGUCACAGUGGCACGAAUUUUUGUUGACAUUUAAUUUCCAUAGGUUUCCUACUUCAGUGUUUCAUUUCCAUAGGUUUCCUACUUCAGUGCACGAAUUUUUUGUUGACGUUUCAUUUCCAUAGGUUUCCUACUUCAGUGAUCUCAUCUCAAAAAAAGCUAUAAAAGUGAUUUUCAUAUGGCAACAAAAAAAUUUCAUUUUUCAAAACUGAAAUUUCAUGGAAUUGUUUUUGGUUUGGCUUCAAAUUUCCUUUAAAAAGUGGUGAAAAUGUCAAAGACACCUCUUCGAUGGCAAGCAAAAAAUAUUGUUUUCAAUGUUUAACAAAGAAUACUUGAUGAACAAGGCGCAGAACGAACACAAUCAUCGAUAAUGAGGCAUGUGCAAGCGUUGACUGGUGUUUCUAAUACUACCAUAAGACGAAUUGUUGCUGAAGGCAGAUCUAACAGAGGCGUAUUUAGUACGCCCGGUAAAAAGAGGAAAGGUGGCAAAAAUACUGCGUCUUCCUCGUCUUCCUCUUCGGAUGAAGACUUUUUUAUGGAUGUGCAGUAUUUGGAACCAUUUUCAAGUCCUGAUAGCCUAUAAUUAAUUAAUAAGAGCGCAUAAAUUCAUGAACAGAGAGA